CACCGUACGAGUGGAAAAAAAACCAAAAAAAAAAAAACACACAUCCCUCCCCAAUUCCUAGCUCCUCCCCCCGUCUCCACCCACAGCCGCCGCCGCCGCACGCCCGCAGCCCUCCUCCGCUCGCUCUGACCAUCCAAAUGGUGCUUCUCCUCACGCCCACGCCGUCCUCCUCCUCAAGCCAUCACCGUUGUCUCCCCUCCUCUGUGACCGGCCUGCGUGAUCCCAACGCGGGGGACGACAUUAACCAUGGAGCGGAGCCCUGUGGGACGAGGUGGAGAUUGGAGAAUGCCGCGGCGAUGAGGGGCACCACAUACGUGGUACCACCACGCACCAUGGUGGGGAUGAGAGGUGUUGUAGCCCUUCCAUCGAGCUCGACUCCGGCGGUCCACGCCGGCGACGACGAUAACAUGAUCCCUACCAGUGAUGAGCACGACGUGCUCCGGCCCAACCGCCUCGACCUCCACAAGCCCCGUCGAGAUUCGUCAGCCCACCCUUCUCUUCUUUCACCACCAGGGGUUGAGGAGGAGCACCAUCAACUCACUUGAUUUUAUUUCAAUUUUCUAUUCAGCUCAAAGAGGUUCUGCGGUACAGCCUAGGAAAUAAAAGGUGAGUCAAUUUGAAGCAUGACCACCACCAACGUGCUUUUUUCUUCUUUCUCUUUCUAAUAAUGUUGAUUGUAUCUAUAAGAUAUGUUAAUAGAUGCAUCGAAGUCUGAUUUGGGGAGGGAUUUCUUAAGCUGAAUGGAGAGGUCAAAUUGAGCUAUAAGCUGUUUUCUACUGUAUUUCUUUAGUUCCAAUUCAUUGGAUUUGAUAUUAAAGUUCUAUAGCCAAAUGAUAGUUCAGAUUGAGUACAUCUGCUACUCCACUUAUUUAAAAUCUACCAUAUUCUAUUAUUUAAACUAUUAACUAUUGACUAGAUGACGCAGAUGCUUUCCCCAUGGGAUAACUUGACAAUUUUUUAGAGAAGUGAUAAAAAACGUCAAGCUUGAAGAACAAAAGUUUGAGCAAAUAUUGGAAUGCUGACUUCAAAUGCCAUGUAGUUCAUAGUCUAUGUGCAAUGGCUCUUUAAUUUGACUGAAGCAAAUGUGAUCCCAGCGCGUCGACCUUGGAGACGGCUGCGAUUGUUUGACGUCCUUCACAACUCACAACUGCUACGGUGCUUCCCGACUCCUUUUUGACUUUCGUCCCCAUGUGUUUUGUUGUUCUGCCGUGCUUGUCCUUUCAUUAUUUUGGAUGAAGUGCGUUGGUCAAUUUCUGUUGGAAGCAGCAACAGCAAUAUCAAAAGAACUGAAGAUCUGUUACAAAUUAGUAUAUGUUUUUCUAUGGAUGUGUUUGCUAUACAGGCUUAGGCUGGAUAUUUUGCUUCAUGCUGAUUGGGCAAACGGCUAUCAACACCAAUGUUAGCACCAUCCAUCUUUCUAGCGGACUUCCAAGCACGCAAGUAUGAGGAUACCAUGGCCAAGGAUCAUAUGGUGAUGCACCGCGGCAGGGCUAUCGGGAUGAAAAAGAGGCUUUUUUCGUGCCCCACGUUGGCCACACCACUACCGCCUACUCGACAAUGAAAGCCGUUGGACCUUGUCUACUUACCAGAGCGGGUUAUAGUUUGAUAAUCAAAUAUCUAGCUCUGUCAUGCAUCGGAGUGGAGUAUCACCGUGGCAAGAGACUUCAGAAAAUACCACUGCAAUGCAUGGGAGUGGAGCCUCACCAUGGGAAACCAUCCCGCCACCGCUAGGGAGCUCUUGGUUGCACCGCAAGCUGCAAUGCCUUGUCGCUUGUGUCACUUAACCGCUAUGGCCUCUCGCUGCUCAAAAUUGAUAGUUUGGUGCAGUUAAGAACAGAUUCCGUUACUUAUCAUAGCAGAACAAGAGAAUUGCAGCUUAUUAUUGGUCGAAAAUAAAAUGUAGCUGGGAUGAAGCUCAAUGUGACGGGUCCAACUUGUGUCAUUCUUUGUCCCUUGCGCUCAUGAGGGGAGAGAGAGGGAGAGCAGAGAGGAGUGUGGACGCAGUGCUAACUGGUAGAUACGGUCUGUGUGUAAGGCGGCAGUGAUCUGCUGGUAUGAUUCUCGGUGAGCCAAGGUAACAGAUAGCCGUUCCAUCCCUUCUGGCGCCCUGUGGAGCCUGGCCAGAGUUUCCGUCAAAGCUAGGUAGGAAAGUAAGCUUUUCUGUCUUAGUUGCCGAGCAAGCUACAGUUAUCUUUCUUUGAAAAGCUACGCUUUGUUGCAUUGCCACAUGUCACAUGUAGGUUGCUUAUGAUAUGCCCCAAUAGUGGAGAGUAUUUAUCAUAAAACUAUCACACUACAGGUUUCAUCGGUCCCACAGAACUACCGGUUUAAAAAACGUCAAAAAAACCAGAUUAUGCUAAUUUUUUGCCUAAAAACUACCACUUGCGUUAGAUGACCAUUUUGCUGGUUUUAAACGUGUUAUGACAUGUGGGACCCACUUGUCAGGGCUGAUGCGGCAGCAAAGUGAACUCCGUUUAUUCGGACUGUUAUAUUUGCCGUUAUUACCUUCUUCUUCCUCCUCUUUCUUUCCUAGGCAUUUCAACCAACACCUCGUCUUCGUGCCCCACGACAAGCACUGUUGUGGUCCAUGUCGUUCACCUGGAGGCUGUUGUAGUCGAGGAUGACGCCUGACUAGGCCCCGUGCGGUGCAUGGGCUUGUCGUCUUUGGUGGUGCCGUCGAGGACGCGAAGCUCGCCACUGGUCAUGAGCGCGAGCGACAACGAGGCUGCCUCGACCGCGUUCAACCAUCGGACGCUCAUCGACCAUGUGUACUUUCUCGGGGAAGGAGUAGCAGGUGGCAAGGAGAUAGAUGUCGCUUUGUCUUUGAGAGUGGUUAAGGAGACGAUGACUACCGGACGAAAGAAGAGGCAGAGAUAAUUGGUAUUUGUUGCCAUUAUAUGAAUGGUAGCCACACGUCGUCAUGUUCGAGUCACAUUUCUAAAUUAGAACAAUUGUGUGAUUGGUGCAUUUUCUGUUAUUCCAUGGCAAUGCAACGGCAGCCCACGGAUCGACACGAACAUGGCGAGGGGAUUGGGGCAGAGAGCGGGGUGGUUGGCGGGAGACUCCUCCUUGCCACUCCAUGGGGAAGUACGAUGUGAAGCGAGAGGGUGCCGUGGCGAAGCUGAGGUGGGCGGUCUCUGGUUUAAAGGAGAGGAUUCCAACAAGAAAUGUUUCACUACGGCAUGAAACCUAGAGGGAAGGGGAGGGUCCGGCAGGAAAAGAGAAAUGUGUGUCAUGAUUUAUUUUUCUUCUCUCUUUUGGGAUCGUGUGUUGUGGAUAACAUGAUAGAUACUCCGGGCAAUCACAUUUUCCCCUCACAUAUGGGUUGGAUUUGGGGGAGUCCGAACUGUCCAGUCAGCUGAAUUUUGGGGAGCCUGUUGGGCACCCGUUUGAUGUCCAAACACGUCCAGACGUAUGAGGGAGAAAUGAGCGUCGACCUUGGAGACGACAUUAAUGCAUUGUAGCUCGUAGCAACUAUUUAAUGGCUCUUUCUAAAAAGUUUCCAUUUUAGUUUACUGAAUAUGUUUUCUUGCUUGAGUUAUAUCAGCUGGGCAAGUGCUAGAACCCAGGAGCAUAUGAUUUUGCUGCUCUUGAGAUACAUGCCAAUAUUGCAAUCUUGACUGUGCAACUAUAUAGACAAGGGAUUGCAUUUCUACAUUGAAGGUUCAGUGUUGAAGCUGCUUGCAUUGAGCUGCAAUAGAUCUUGACUUCGGCAAAAAAGAAGGUAUAUUGAGCUUAAUGACGAAUGGUUACAUAUAGAUAGAAGAACCGGUUGUAAUAUAUACAUUUUUUGUCCUGAAGUAGCUCUUCUACCUUUGAUUCGUGUAAUGAAUAUCCAGUGUAUAUAGUUCAUUCUUUACACCUUUUCUUUAAGAGAACACAUAUUUCUUUGUGUUUA